CGGAGGGAUCAUUAAAGAGUUCUAUAACUCCCAAACCCAUGUGAACAUACCUAACGUUGCCUCGGCAGGUCGCACCUACCUUGUAGCACCCUACCCUGUAGGGCCUACCCGGGAGGUGCGGGUAAGCCUGCCGGCGGCCCACCAAACUCUGUUUGAUAUUGAAUUCUGAACCUAUAACUAAAUAAGUUAAAACUUUCAACAACGGAUCUCUUGGUUCUGGCAUCGAUGAAGAACGCAGCGAAAUGCGAUAAGUAAUGUGAAUUGCAGAAUUCAGUGAAUCAUCGAAUCUUUGAACGCAUAUUGCGCCCAUUAGUAUUCUAGUGGGCAGGACCGUUCGAGCGUCAUUUCAACCCUUAAGCCUUCGUUGCUUAGUGUUGGGAGCCUACGGCAACGUAGCUCCUCAAAGUUAGUGGCGGAGUUGGUUCACACUCUAGACGUAGUAAUUUUUUAUCUCGCCUAUUAGUUGGACUAAUCCCCUGCCGUAAAACCCCCAAUUUAUCAAGGUUGACCUCGAAUCGGUUCAGACAAACUCGCUAAAUUGAAGCAUCUUAGUCAGCGAAGGAAAAGAAACCAACAGGGAUUGCCCUAGUAACGGCGAGUGAAGCGGCAACAGCUCAAAUUUGAAAUCUGGCCCUCGGGUCCGAGUUGUAAUUUGUAGAGGAUGCUUUUGGCGCGG
rnacentral:rRNA from 1 species